GUUAUGAAAUGAAGAUCAAACUACUAUUAGCCCAGAUUAUGGAGAGUUUUUUUUAUGGUCAGUGAAGAGUGAACUAAACCUAGAUAAAGAAAGAAGGAGAAAGGUGGAAUUGGAAAAGAUCUGCUAGUGUGCUGUAAUUGUGGCACGAAGGAAUAACUGAAAGAGCAGAACUAAAAAUGGUCCUCAUGAGCAAACAAACAAGCAAAAAUGAUGACCCUUCACAAAGAGCAUGUGGGACACCUAUCUCAGAUUUUGGAAGAAAUUUACAUGUAUGCCUGUGAAAUAAGAAUUCUUCAAGAUUACUGUAACCUAAUUAAAAUACGUGUCCUUCCUUCUGUCAUUCUUUUUCUCUUUCCCACUCUCGUUCUUGCCUUCUCAACAUCUUUCUCUCUCCCCUUUUCUCUCUCUCUAACUCCCCAUCACAAUUAUAGUUCUUAUCAUCACAAAGAGCUUACGGCAGAGAUUGUCUCCCUGUCUUUAUUUUUUCAAUUUUAUACUGCCAACCACUGGUGUUAUUUCUGA
rnacentral:lncRNA from 1 species